ACAACAUUCUAAACGUCGGUCUACCGAGCAAUUUUACCCACUCGGUGGAAGAUCUUUCUUUUGUCGU
rnacentral:pre_miRNA from 1 species